rnacentral:rRNA from 2 species
AAAUGGACUCUCAGCAACGGAUAUCUUG